GAUGAACGCUGGCGGCGUGCCUAAUACAUGCAAGUCGAGCGGUAAGGCUCCUACAGAUUAUUUGAUGAGACAGGGUUGACACCCGUUAGGGCUGUCAACAUCACAAAAGAAGGAGGGAUGACUGUGGUCAAUCCAAAUACUAGUGAAUACCUGGUAAAACCUUCGCGUUAAGAAGGCGAAAUCGAAUAAUGUGUUGGAGUACACGAGCGGCGGACGGCUGAGUAACGCGAGGAACGUACCCCAGAGUGAGGGAUAAGCACCGGAAACGGUGUCUAAUACCGCAUACUCUCUUCGGAGCAAAAGCUUUCGAGCGCUUUGGGAACGGCCUGCGUAUGAUUAGCUUGUUGGUAGAGGUAAAAGACUCACCAAGGCGAACGAUCAUUAGCUGGUCUGAGAGGAUGAUCAGCCAGACUGGGACUGAGAC
rnacentral:rRNA from 1 species